UACGUAGGGUCCGAGCGUUGUCCGGAAUUACUGGGCGUAAAGAGCUCGUAGGUGGUUUGUCGCGUUGUUCGUGAAAACUCACAGCUUAACUGUGGGCGUGCGGGCGAUACGGGCAGACUUGAGUACUGCAGGGGAGACUGGAAUUCCUGGUGUAGCGGUGGAAUGCGCAGAUAUCAGGAGGAACACCGGUGGCGAAGGCGGGUCUCUGGGCAGUAACUGACGCUGGAGG
rnacentral:rRNA from 1 species